rnacentral:rRNA from 1 species
CGUAGGCGGGCCUUCAAGUCGGUUGUGAAAACUCCGAGCUUAACUCGGAGCCUGCAUCCGAUACUGUUGGUCUUGAGUACAGGAGAGGAAAGUGGAAUUCCAGGUGUAGCGGUGAAAUGCGUAGAUAUCUGGAAGAACACCAGUAGCGAAGGCGGCUUUCUGGACUGAUACUGACGCUAAAGCGCGAAGGCUUGGGGAGCAAACA